GAGCAAAAAGUUCGAUUAAUCUUUUUUUAUAUUUACAAAAAUGUACAUAAUAUACCAAUAAUGUAUCAUAUUGAAAAAAUAAAUGUACAUAAAUUUUCAUCGAAUGUACGUUAUUUAUGUGUAGAUGGUAUUUAUAAUUUAAAAUUAAAUAAGGAAAAUAAAUACAUUGUAACUUUAAAUAUAUUUAUAGGCUCUUCUAUUGGUUAUAUGUUUCAUUAUAAAGGUAUAUACGAGUUUACUAUAUUUAAUGAUAUAAUUUUUUCACAAAUAUUAAUACGUGCUUAUAUUAAAUCUUCGUAUAAUCUUAAUAGUACCAUUUUAUCUACACAUUUAUCGACUGUCUUGGUAAGACCGUCAUAUCGUGAAAAAAAAAAAAAAGAGACUUUUCUCUUUAACAUAUAUAAUGAUGUUUUAGCUGAUAUUAACACUAAAUCUUUAACCGAUGAACAACCGAAAAAAACUGUCAAUAAUUUCAGGUCAGUUACUGUUAAAAAUAGUGACCAAAAUAGUGACCAAAAUAGUGACAAAAAUAGUGACAAAAAUAGUGACCAAAAUAGUGACCAAAAUAGUGACAAAAAUAGUGACCAAAAUAGUGACAAAAAUAGUGACCAAAAUAGUGACAAAAAUAGUGACAAAAAUAGUGACAAAAAUAGUGACCAAAAUAGUGACAAAAAUAGUGACCAAAAUAGUGACCAAAAUAGUGACCAAAAUAGUGACAAAAAUAGUGACAAAAAUAGUGACAAAAAUAGUGACAAAAAUAGUGACCAAAAUAGUGACAAAAAUAGUGACCAAAAUAGUGACCAAAAUAGUGACCAAAAUAGUGACCAAAAUAGUGACCAAAAUAGUGACCAAAAUAGUAACAUUAAUGAAAUUACAAAAAUGCCACAGCCAUCAACAAACAGUUCUGCUCCAAACAACACAAUUCCAAUCCAAAACCAAAACCAAAACCAACUCCUUAAGAAACUACUAUUUUAUUGCAAAAGAAAAAAAAAAAAAAAAAAAAACAUACACAAUAUAUUAUGCUGCGGCUUAAAUAAUGGAGAAAUUCACAUUUUUUAUUAUACCACCAAUUUAGUAUUACUAAAAAAAUAAAAAUACAUCAAAAUGGGAUUAAUAAAAUAAAUAUAAAAAAAGAAAAACGAAAUAAC
rnacentral:lncRNA from 1 species